ACUCUCGCAACUCUGCUUGGUUACACUUGGCUUCACACGAGUGACUUUAAUAAUGGGGAGAGAAAAAAGACUUCCUUGGGAGGCCUCAGAUUGGCCAUGUUGUGGUCUCUCUUUCCUUCAGGGGCACAACAGGU
rnacentral:snoRNA from 1 species